rnacentral:lncRNA from 1 species
AUCCGUGGCAUAUGGAGGUUCUCAGGGUAGGGGUCAAAUCAGAGCUACAACUGCUGGCCUCCACCACAGCCACAGCAACAAAGGAUCUGAGCCGCGUCUCCACAUCUCACGGCAACACCAAAUCCUUAACUCACUGAGCGAGUCCAGGGAUCAAACCCACAACCUCAUGGUUCCUAGUCGUAUUUGUUUCCACUGUGCCACAAAGAGAACUCCUUGUUCUUCUAUUCUGAUCCAACAUUUAGCAUAUUACAAAUGGGGAGUUCCCCUUGUGUCUCAGCAGUAACAAACUCAACUAGUAUCCAUGAGGAUGCGAGUUCAAUCACUGGCCCUGAUCAGUGGGUUAAGGAUCCAGGGUUGCCAGAGCUGCAGUGUAGAUCAUAGACACAGCUUGGAUCUGGCGUUGCUAUGGCUGUGGCGUAAGCCAGCAGCUGCAACUCCAACUCAACCCCUAGCCUGGGAACUUCCAUAUGCUGUGGGUGUAUAAAAAGACAAACAAACAAACAAACAAAACAACUAAAAAGAAUAUUACAAAUGGAUGUUGAGAUGGAUGGCAUGUGGGCAUCCAUGGGAAGAAAUUUUACCAUUUUUGAAAAUGGAUUUUAAAGCACUGCUUCCUGGAUCCAUCACCACCUCCUUGCCUACUGCUUCAUUUAUACAGUAUUUAAAAGUAUUCAAAAAAAUUAAGUCCUCAUCAUUUCCUGGGCUUUACCACUGUUCUCUUAAAACCUACUACAUGGAAGAUGGGCUCAGAAUGUCAAUUGAGGAAAAGGAAAGAAAUGGCAUCUGCAUGUGAUGGUUUCUCAUUUAGCAGGCACAAAGAAUGCACCAAGAACUUUUAUGAGAAUGGCGAGUCCUAAUUUUAUUUUCAUAACAACUCUAUGAGGUAAGGACCUGUUAUUACAUCCCUUUAGAAAUAACAAAAUUGAGGACUAUAAGCUGUCAGACAACCUGUUCACAAUUCCUAACUAGUGACUAGUUUGCCAGACUUGAACCAGUAGGAUGUUCCAUCCUAUAAAAAAAGUAGUUUGUGAGCAGGAACCACUCCAUUACCCAUAUUAGGGCCACACUUUCCAUCAUAAAAAUGAGAGUGGAAGGGCAAGAAUUCACCUUAGAAUUCCAGGGUGCUCGUCUGAAUUCUAGAGACUCAGUUAAGACAUGUUCACAUAGUAAGACUUUCUUAUGUGAUUAUGAAUUUCGAUGUGAUAUGGAUAAACCCAGGAAAAACUACUGCCAUAGAGACUUCUGUGAGAGUUUAAAGAAGAGUGAAUGAAAUAAGAAGACAGUGUCCAGCUUGGGAUCUACCCCAAUGCUUCCAAGAGAUGAACACAUUUGACACCGUACCAUAUCAUCAUCCACAAGUGCCACCAAUGUGAGGGGAUACAAAUCUACACUAGAUUGAUCUCCUUAGCCAAGAAUUCAAAGCCCUCAGCAUGAUCCUAGCCUAUCUUUCAGCCACAUUAUCUCCACCUUUUGAUUUUUGGAUAAAAAAUAUGAUCCAAGGAGUUCUCUUGUGGUACAGUGGGUUAGAGAUCCACCGUUGUCACUGCAGCGGCUUGGGUGGCUCCUAUAGCUCGGGCUAGAUCCCUGGCCCAGAAUCUUUCACAUGGUAUAGACACAUUUACUACAUUUUUUAAUUAAACUUUGCUAGUUAGAUGUAAUAUAAAGAGAAUUAAAAGGCUAAGGAACUCUAGAAAAAUAUUUGCCACCAAAAUGGAGUCAAAGGACUAAGAAUAUUAAAACUUAAAAAAGCUUCUAUGAACUAACAAGAAAAACAUUAAUACCCUAAUAAAAUAAUAGCCAAAGACAAGGAUAGACAAUUCACAAAAGGAGUUAAAUGUUUACUAAGGUGUUUACUAAGCAUGAGGGAAAAAAAAGAAUGGGACCCCUUUGUAGAAAGAUUCUUUUAAAAAAUUAUAUCUUUAGCAACGAAACUCUACCAACUGCCAAAAUCUUGAAUCUAGUAACCAAUCUAAACUACUAAUAGUAACCAAACUAAACUACUAAUGUCACCACCAUAUUUUAAGUCCUUUUACAGGGCAAACAUGAUAUCCUUACCACAAACUUGAGCAAAGUAAAAUAAACCUGCAAGAUAAAAAUAAAGUAGAUUAUUCCCUCCACUUUCAGGGAGAGUAAUUAGAUAGCAUCAAAUGUCUGGGAGAAAAUACUGCGAUAUCUGACAUUUCUGAAAUCUUCAACAACUUUGGAGUGGGGUACUCUAAGACAGAGCAAACUGAAAAAUUAAAAUUUUUCAUGGUGUAGAAGGAUCUUAGAGAGCAUCGUUUUGUGAGUGCAUGAGAUGAACACUUUUUGGUUACUGAUUAGUCUGCUGAGCCAGAAUUCUAAGCUCAUGGGUUCCAAACUUGCAUAACUUACUUGUAUAUGAUAACCGGACAUUAGUCAACGACUGAAGUGUCAUUUAUGAUUUCUAAUACAGGAAAAUCAUAUGCAUGUAUAACCAUCCUGAAUGUGAUAUUAUUUUUUAAUCUUCCAAAUCUCCCUCCUCUUUCUUUCUCCAUACAUCCCCAUCCCCCUUCCUCUCUUCCACCUCUAUUCACACACACACACACACACACACACACACACACACACNAGGCUUGAUAUGGGAUCUCAGUUUCCAGACCAGGCCAUAGCAGUGACAAUGCCAAAUCUUAACCAUUAGACCACCAGGAACUCCCCUAACACAUUUUUCUAAUAAAAGGCCUAGGGUAACAUUCUCUCUAGAACAGAAAUUAAAGCAAACACGUCUUCCUUGGACAUCCCUAAAAAGCGUCUGGGGACUGACUGUUACUCCCAAAUGAUGAUGGGAGUCCUGUCUUCCUACUAACCACACCCCUUCCAGAAGGAACAAAGAGGAGAAGUCACAUCCCAGGCACCAGAUCAGUCCUGAGCACAGGGAAGUGACAGCGGGCAUCCCCAGAACAUUCGCCCAUCUGAACCUGACGUCAUUCAGCCUCUCCACACAAAGAUCUUCAGGGCAGCAUGGCAUCUGCAUUAUGGCAGCUCCAAUCUGUUCUGAAUGCAAAAGCAAAACAAACUUUUGCAAACACCACCAAUUAUCCAGGUAUUUUUAGUCAGCCUCCUUGUCACCCAACCCUUAAGGUGGGCAUGAGUCAAUUCUGAUAGUUCUUAGAACUGUGUCAUCAGGAUGCAGGCUUGGCCCAACACGACGCAGCAUUGUUCCCAAUUACUCAUAUUCCUCAGUUCAAAGACAAAAGAAUUCUAUCACAGAGGCUCACGCUUGACUUCAUCCUUUCUAUUAAGUAAAUCGAACACUCUGACAGCACACCUAGCUGUGGAUGUCAAGUCACAUUUACCAACAUCUAAAUCAAAGGCUGGCCCAGGCAAGUCUUGGGCAUACAAGCUUUAAAAGAGGUGACCUCAACCUCUUAAAUGCUGCUUUUGGCUUCAUAUUCUCUAAAAAUGCAUAAUCAGAGUAGUAGGUAGGGGAGAGAAAGAAUCCAACACCCAGAUAUAAUAAAUGGGUUUCCUUUCAUUUUUCCUGAUUCUUUUUAUCUCAUUAAACUCCAAAUUCACCCAAGCCACCCCUUCAUGUUGCAUUCCAUGAAGUCAUGUCUGGUUAUUGAAUCCCAGAAGGACCUUAAUAUUUUAACUGGGUGAGGGGAUUCAGUAACAAGAAUUCUGUAAAAAGAUUCUGUGUUGCUUCCUGGGGCCCCAUUUUGAUGGCCAAGUGGGCUGAGCUUGAAGCACCUGGAGAAGCUGGGGGCCAAGUGGUAAGGGGCCUCAUCAGAGAUCAGAUCUCUGACUUCUGGCAUGUUCUUUGAAACAUGACUGGAAAAGUCAGCCAACUCUGCUG